rnacentral:rRNA from 1 species
GACAGAGGAGCCAAGCGUUGUCCUGAUUGACUGGGCGUAAAGCGCACGCAGGCGGUCGCGCGCGUGAGGUGUGAAAACUGGCGGCUUAACUGCCAGAGGCCAUCCCAUACGGCGUGACUCGAGCCAUGCAGAGGUCCACGGAAUUGCCGGUGUAGUGGUGAAAUGCGUAGAGAUCGGCAGGAACACCCAGGGGGAAACCAGUGGACUGGGCAUGGGCUGACGCUCAGGUGCGAAAGCGUGGGGAGCGAACCGG